CGAUGAAGCCCUUCGGGGUGGAUUAGUGGCGAACGGGUGAGUAACACGUGGGUAAUCUGCCCUGCACUUCGGGACAAGCCCUGGAAACGGGGUCUAAUACCGGAUACUACUACUGGCCGCAUGGUCUGGUGGUGGAAAGCUCCGGCGGUGCAGGAUGAACCCGCGGCCUAUCAGCUUGUUGGUGAGGUAGUGGCUCACCAAGGCGACGACGGGUAGCCGGCCUGAGAGGGCGACCGGCCACACUGGGACUGAGACACGGCCCAGACUCCUACGGGAGGCAGCAGUGGGGAAUAUUGCACAAUGGGCGAAAGCCUGAUGCAGCGACGCCGCGUGAGGGAUGACGGCCUUCGGGUUGUAAACCUCUUUCAGCAGGGAAGAAGCGUGAGUGACGGUACCUGCAGAAGAAGCGCCGGCUAACUACGUGCCAGCAGCCGCGGUAAUACGUAGGGCGCAAGCGUUGUCCGGAAUUAUUGGGCGUAAAGAGCUCGUAGGCGGCGUGUCGCGUCGGUUGUGAAAGCCCGGGGCUUAACCCCGGGUCUGCAGUCGAUACGGGCAUGCUUGAGUUCGGUAGGGGAGAUCGGAAUUCCUGGUGUAGCGGUGAAAUGCGCAGAUAUCAGGAGGAACACCGGUGGCGAAGGCGGAUCUCUGGGCCGAUACUGACGCUGAGGAGCGAAAGCGUGGGGAGCGAACAGGAUUAGAUACCCUGGUAGUCCACGCCGUAAACGGUGGGCACUAGGUGUGGGCAACAUUCCACGUUGUCCGUGCCGCAGCUAACGCAUUAAGUGCCCCGCCUGGGGAGUACGGCCGCAAGGCUAAAACUCA
rnacentral:rRNA from 1 species